rnacentral:misc_RNA from 1 species
AGAUUCUCGCUGCUUGCCACACAAACAUAUGAAAGCAAAAAGAGAACAGUUAAUAUUAGUUAUUUAUCCUCAUUUUAGAUAUUUAGCAUAAGAAUAAGCCAGGGCUAAACAGUUCAACUGGAUUUGUUCUGACCAAAACUGUUCCAUGCUACUGUUUGUCAGCCAAAAAAAAUCCACAACUGAGAAACAGAGUUGCAUAUUGAUGGUCCUUUAGUCACAAAAAUAGCUAUAUUAACACACCAGGGAGUAAAACCAAAGUAUUAUGAGAAUGCCUUCUUUACCACUUUGGGGUUUGAUUUGGAUUU